rnacentral:rRNA from 1 species
GUGGGGAAUAUUGGACAAUGGGCGCAAGCCUGAUCCAGCCAUGCCGCGUGAGUGAUGAAGGCCCUAGGGUUGUAAAGCUCUUUCACCGGUGAAGAUAAUGACGGUAACCGGAGAAGAAGCCCCGGCUAACUUCGUGCCAGCAGCCGCGGUAAUACGAAGGGGGCUAGCGUUGUUCGGAAUUACUGGGCGUAAAGCGCACGUAGGCGGACAUUUAAGUCAGGGGUGAAAUCACAGAGCUCAACUCUGGAACUGCCUUUGAUACUGGGUGUCUUGAGUAUGGAAGAAGUAAGUGUAAGUCCGAGUGUAGAGGUGGAAUUCGUAGAUAUUCGGAGGAACACCAGUGGCGAAGGCGGCUUACUGGUCCAUUACUGACGCUGAGGUGCGAAAGCGUGGGGAGCAAACAGGAUUAGAAACCCGAGUAGUCC